UACGUAGGGGGCGAGCGUUGUCCGGAUUUAUUGGGCGUAAAGAGCGUGUAGGCGGCCAGGUAGGUCUGCUGUGAAAACUCGAGGCUCAACCUCGAGACGUCGGCGGAAACCCUCUGGCUAGAGUCCGGAAGAGGAGAGUGGAAUUCCUGGUGUAGCGGUGAAAUGCGCAGAUAUCAGGAAGAACACCCGUGGCGAAGGCGGCUCUCUGGGACGGUACUGACGCUGAGACGCGAAAGCGUGGGGAGCGAACAGG
rnacentral:rRNA from 1 species